GCGGGUGUAGUACAACGGCUAGUACAACAGCCUUCCAAGCUGUGGACGUGGGUUCGAUUCCCAUCACCCGCUCCA
rnacentral:tRNA from 1 species